AUUAUACCGCGAAACUGCGAAUGGCUCAUUAAAUCAGUUAUCGUUUAUUUGAUAGUACCUUACUACUUGGAUAACCGUGGUAAUUCUAGAGCUAAUACAUGCUAAAAAUCCCGACUUCGGAAGGGAUGUAUUUAUUAGAUUAAAAACCAAUGCCCUUCGGGGCUCACUGGUGAUUCAUAAUAACUUCUCGAAUCGCAUGGCCUUGCGCCGGCGAUGGUUCAUUCAAAUUUCUGCCCUAUCAACUUUCGACGGCUGGGUCUUGGCCAGCCAUGGUGACAACGGGUAACGGAGGGUUAGGGCUCGACCCCGGAGAAGGAGCCUGAGAGACGGCUACUACAUCCAAGGAAGGCAGCAGGCGCGCAAAUUACCCAAUCCCGACACGGGGAGGUAGUGACAAUAAAUACUGAUACAGGGCUCUUUAGGGUCUUGUAAUUGGAAUGAGUACAAUUUAAAUCCCUUAACGAGGAACAAUUGGAGGGCAAGUCUGGUGCCAGCAGCCGCGGUAAUUCCAGCUCCAAUAGCGUAUAUUAAAGUUGUUGCAGUUAAAAAGCUCGUAGUUGAACCUUGGGCCUGGCUGGCCGGUCCGCCUCACCGCGUGCACUGGUCCGGCCGGGUCUUUCCCUCUGGGGAACCGCAUGCCCUUCACUGGGUGUGCUGGGGAACCAGGACUUUUACUUUGAAAAAAUUAGAGUGUUCAAAGCAGGCCUAUGCUCGAAUACAUUAGCAUGGAAUAAUAGAAUAGGACGUGUGGUUCUAUUUUGUUGGUUUCUAGGACCGCCGUAAUGAUUAAUAGGGACAGUCGGGGGCAUCAGUAUUCAAUUGUCAGAGGUGAAAUUCUUGGAUUUAUUGAAGACUAACUACUGCGAAAGCAUUUGCCAAGGAUGUUUUCAUUAAUCAGGAACGAAAGUUAGGGGAUCGAAGACGAUCAGAUACCGUCGUAGUCUUAACCAUAAACUAUGCCGACUAGGGAUCGGACGAAGUUAUUUUUUUGACUCGUUCGG
rnacentral:rRNA from 1 species